GAGUUGGUAGCUCAGUGGAGGAGUUCAUGCUUUGUGUGUAUGAUGUCCUGGGUUCAUUCCCCAGCUUACCCC